UUCUAUAUAAAGGCUGCAGUCACUUCCGUUCCCUCUUUUUCAUUUCGGCCCUGAGGAGGUUAGUGAGGAUAAGCCACCAUGCCGGUUGCCCGUACUUGGGUGUGCAGUAAGACGUACGUCACACCACGUCGUCCCUUUGAGAAAUCCCGUCUCGACCAGGAGCUUAAGCUCAUUGGCGAGUAUGGACUGAGGAACAAGCGUGAGGUCUGGAGAGUCAAGUUCACUCUGGCUAAGAUCCGUAAAGCUGCCAGAGAACUGCUCACGUUGGACGAGAAAGAUCCCAAACGUCUCUUCGAGGGUAAUGCCUUGCUGAGGCGUCUGGUGCGUAUUGGUGUUCUAGAUGAGGGCAAGAUGAAGCUGGAUUACAUCCUGGGUCUGAAGGUGGAGGAUUUCUUGGAGCGCAGGUUGCAGACACAGGUGUUCAAACUGGGUCUGGCCAAGAGCAUCCACCAUGCUCGUGUUCUCAUCCGCCAGAGGCACAUUCGCCCUCGCUGAGCGUGUGAUAUUUCAGCAAGGUCAAUUCGGCAUUGAGCCGUAUACCUUUGCCCGUGUUGUUGUGUGUGCCGAGCCCUGGGCUGGCUGUGCUGACUGGAGCCGAUGACGCACCACAGUGUGCGUAAACAGGUGGUGAACAUCCCAUCUUUCGUGGUGCGUCUGGACAGUCAGAAGCACAUCGACUUCUCUCUGCGCUCUCCGUACGGAGGUGGACGUCCUGGCCGUGUCAAGAGAAAGAAUGCCAAGAAGGGACAGGGUGGAGCUGCAGGAGCAGAUGACGAG